AAAGAGCCCAUCGUGAUGGGCCCGCGAAGCUGUUACUAUAUAAUAUUAUUUUUCUUCUUCUUUUUCCCAUAUAAAAACCCUGCAACAACAGAUGUUGGCGUAUAAUACAUCACGAUAUUUGCUCCCGCGGAUGACCUUUUGCCGUGACCCAACAAGUGGAUAGCGAAAAAAAUUAUUUCCAUAAGAAUAUUAUUAUAAAUAAAUGUUAUUAGGUAUAGGUAACUAAAACCCAAGGAUAUAGAUACCUACUUGUACAAUAAAAAUUCUCGGUAAUACUAUUUUUUACCUUAUACGAUGACCAAUAAUUAACACUGAUCAAACAAUAAUAGUACCUAUAACUACUAUUUGUAGUUGGCUACCUUUGAAUUUGCUCCCAAUAACGGUUUCAACAAGUUGUUUUGAAAAUAUUAAAAGUUGAAAAAGUAUAACUAAAUAAAAUGUUUAUUUUUAAAUUAUUUCGAUAUAGUCCGCCUACUUACUUAAUUGAACGAUAAUUCCGAACGAUUUUGGUAACCAAUGUGAUUAAAAAAUAAAAAAUAAAUGCCGAGACAACCGAUUCGAAUUGCACCGCCUGCACUGCUGCAAUGCGCGUUGCACAUAAUAUUAUCAAGAGGCGAAACCUCGGUCAACCGCGGCGACUAUUUUUUUUUCUUUUUUUUUCUAACAAUACACUAUAGUAUGUUUCCGUUUAUAUUUUCAAACAGUCGGAUACAACAUUAUCUCUCCGUUUAAACGAAAAAAUAAUCAGAAUGAUCAGAAUAUUAUUCGUGAAAACCGUCGCGACCGGAAGCAUUGUUCAACGCGUGUUAUCUAUAAAAUAUAACGAGUCUCUCUCUCGAGUCUUACAUAUUAUAUUACGUUAGUAAUUAUUUUUUAUGUAACAAGUCGUGUACCUAUAUCUAUGUAUAUCGAUCAAAGCGUUGGAAUACAAUAAUUUUACAAAAAUACAAAAAUUAUUCAUUA